rnacentral:rRNA from 1 species
AGAGUUUGAUCAUGGCUCAGAACGUACGCUGGCGGCACGCCUAACACAUGCAAGUCGAACGAAGUAGCAAUACUUAGUGGCAGACGGGUGAGUAACAUGUAGGUAUCUGCCCUUUGGCCUGGAAUAACACGAGGAAACUUGUGCUAAUACCGGAUAAGUCUUUACGGAGAAAGCUUUAUGCACCAUUGGAUGAGCCUGCACUUGAUUAGUUUGUUGGUGGGGUAAUGGCCUACCAAGACUGUGAUCAAUAGCUGAUUUGAGAGGAUGAUCAGCCACAUUGGGACUGAGACACGGCCCAAACUCCUACGGGAGGCAGCAGUGGGGAAUUUUCCGCAAUGGACGAAAGUCUGACGGAGCGACGCUGCGUGAAGGAUGACGGCCUGCGGGUUGUAAACUUCUUUUCUCGAAGAAGAAGCUCUGACGGUAUUCGAGGAAUAAGCAUCGGCUAACUCCGUGCCAGCAGCCGCGGUAAUACGGAGGAUCCAAGCGUUAUCCGGAAUCAUUGGGUUUAAAGGGUCCGUAGGUGGACAAAUAAGUCAGAGGUGAAAUCCUGCAGCUCAACUGUAGAACUGCCUUUGAUACUGUUUGUCUUGAGUUAUUAUGAAGUGGUUAGAAUGUGUAGUGUAGCGGUGAAAUGCAUAGAUAUUACACAGAAUACCGAUUGCGAAGGCAGAUUACUAACAAUAUACUGACACUGAGGGACGAAAGCGUGGGUAGCGAACAGGAUUAGAUACCCUGGUAGUCCACGCCGUAAACG